rnacentral:rRNA from 1 species
AUUGAACGCUGGCGGCAUGCUUUACACAUGCAAGUCGAACGGCAGCACGGGCUUCGGCCUGGUGGCGAGUGGCGAACGGGUGAGUAAUGCAUCGGAACGUACCGUGUAGUGGGGGAUAACGUAGCGAAAGUUACGCUAAUACCGCAUACGCCCUGAGGGGGAAAGUGGGGGACCGUAAGGCCUCACGCUAUAUGAGCGGCCGAUGUCGGAUUAGCUAGUUGGUAGGGUAAAGGCCUACCAAGGCGACGAUCCGUAGCGGGUCUGAGAGGAUGAUCCGCCACACUGGGACUGAGACACGGCCCAGACUCCUACGGGAGGCAGCAGUGGGGAAUUUGGACAAUGGGCGCAAGCCUGAUCCAGCCAUGCCGCGUGAGUGAAGAAGGCCUUCGGGUUGUAAAGCUCUUUCAGACGGAAAGAAAUCUCUCAGGAUAAUACCUUGGGAGGAUGACGGUACCGUAAGAAGAAGCACCGGCUAACUACGUG